AAAAAGAUGACAAUAAGAAAAGGACCAAAAAGCUGACCUAGGGAUACAAUCAAACGCUAUAACCAAAAAGAGAGGAGCCAUCUUUUGACAAAAAAAUCGUACCCCCACCCCCUGACUUCAUCUUCUCCAAACGACCCCCCUUUUCCUCUUCUCCGGCGGAGCCCACACCAGCGACCAACAGCAGCCCCUAUUUCGCCAAAAAAUAAGCAGAAAUAGACCGGAAAAAGUCCCCGACGAGGUCCCGGUUCAAGUUUCCGGCGUACGGUCAGAGGCUAAGGAGGAACUUCGUAGGCAAGAAGUGGAGGUAGUCCUCUCAUAUUCUUCUUAUUCUCGUCUUAGCAAACUCUAUAGUAUGCUUUAUCUAUCAUCCAAAAUAUGUACUUUGUCAUCUCUCAUUUAUUGUGUUUUAAAUUCUAUUUAAAUCUGAUUACCUUAGAUGACGACAACGUGCAUUAGUCUGUUAAUUUAUCUAUACAAAUUUAAGAGGGGUGGUAUUCAAUAGAACUAUGUUCAUUUUAUGUUCUACCUAAGCAGAAAUUCGAAAAGUUUCUUAUUUCGCGUAAGAACAUACAAACCAUUUAUCCUAGAUAUAUGUGUUCAAGUUAUAUCUCAGUUCAAAUGGGUGUAUUUCAGAAAUUGAGGCAAUGCGAUUAAAUUGAUUUUUUUAAUUACCAAAUUCGGGUGUGCAUUUCAUGUGACCCUACCAUAAUUUUGAAUAAUGAUAGUAGAAAUUAUCAUGUUAUAAAUCCGGGUGUACAUUUUAUGUGACCCGGCUCUCAUUUCCAACAAGGUUAAAUAGAACGUGUCGUGAACCACGGGUGCAUUUCAUGUAGCGUGGCUUGCGAUGUGUUUUGAAUAACCUUGAAUUAAUCCUUUAAAUAAUUAAAGCGAUUUUCAAAAGUUAAAAAUGCACAUAGGUUUAAAACUAUUUUAAAAAUCAAAUAAAUAGGCCAAUAAUAAUAGUUGAGCGACCGUGCUAGAACCACUGAAUCCGGAAAUGCCUAACACCUUCUCCCGGGUUAACAUAAUUCCUUACCCGGAUUUCUGUGUUUGCGGACUAUAAAACAGAGUCAAUCUUUUCUCAAUUCGGGAUUUGAACUGGUGACUUGGGACACCAUAAACCAUCCCAAGUGGCGACUCUGAUUUUAAAUAAAAUAAUCCCGUUUCGAUUGUUACUUAAAUUGGAAAGAACUCCCUUAUGCCGCCCUCGGGCGGUAAAAACAGGUGUGACACUUUUGAUACGAAUGAACAUGUGGGGGAAUAAGGAUUUCAUUGAUGUAAAUUUUGUCAGAUUCCGAGACGUGGGCUCGGGGGUCGGGUUUGGUAAAUUUUGGGAUUUGUUUUGUAAUUUGGUUACUUUCGAGUGGGCUUUGUUCCCUUAGCAUAUUUUGAUGAUUAUAUACUGAUUUUGGUUAGAUUUUGGGUCAUCACCUGUUUUUAAAAUGAAUUCUAUGUUCUGAGGCCUUAACCUCUUUUUGUCUCACAUCGAUUUGCGUGCACAGUCGGGACACGUAGCCGGAAAGCUAAUAUGUGAAAAUCUGUGGAAAAUGGUAAAUUUUGAUUAUAAAAUGAAUUAGGUUGACUUCGGUCAAUAUUUUGGGUAAAUGGACCGAACCCAUGAUUUGACGGUCCUGGAGGGUCCGUAGGAAAAUAUGGGACUUGGGCGUAUGCCCGAAAUCGAAUUCCGAGGUCUCAAGCCCGAGAAAUAAAUUUUUAAAGAAAAUUGUUUUUCUGAAUAUAUUUAUGAGAUUUAGAAAUGAAUUGUUAUUAGAACUUGAUGGUAUCGGGCCCGUAUUUUGGUUCCGGCAGGUCUUAUAUUUGAUUUAAGAUAAGUCUGUGAAAUUUGGUAAGAAAUGGACUUGAAACGACGUGAAUCGGAUCAUUUUUUAGAAAACUGGAAAUUUGAAGUUCUUAAGAAAAUUUCAUGAUUUUGAUGCUAAAUUCCUAGUUGUUGAUGUUAUCUUAGUGAUUUGAAUGCACGAGCAAGUCCGUAUGAUAUUUUUAGAUUGGUGUGCAUGUUUGGUUGAGAGCCCCGAGGGCUCGGGUGAGUUUUGGAUAGGCCACAAAGUGAAAUUUUAACUUAGGAAAUUGCUGGUAUGCUUCAGGCCUACAGGCUUCGCAUCUCGCAAAUGCGAGCAAUGUAUCGCAAAUGCGAUAGGUGGCCUGGGUUGCCUUCUUCGCAAAUGCGAACUGUCUAUUGCAAAUGCGACGUCUGCCUGGAAUCCCCCUUAGUCACAAAUGCGAGACCUCAGUCGCACAUGCGACUUCACAAAUGCGACACUGCUUUCGCAAAUGCGAACAUAGCAGAGGUCGGGGUUCGCAAUUCCCAUAUCUGCAACCUGUAAUUUUUAUACUUAGCCGAAAAUCAACCAUUUUUCACACUCUUUCAAAACCAAAACACUCUCGGGCGAUUUUUCAAAGACAACUCUUCUUCCAAAUCGAUUGUAAGUCAAUUUCAACUCUUUUUCUUCAAUCAUUAACAUCUUUUAACAUGAUUUCAACUCAAAAUCAAUGAUUUUCAUGGGGGAAAUAGAGUGUAUUGGGUAGAACCUAGGUUUUUCAAAAAUUGAGGAUUUGGACCUCGAUUUGAGGUCCGAUUUCAAACAAAUUAUAUAUUUGGGUUUGUGGGAAAAUGGGUAAUCGAGUUUUUGUUCGAACCUCGGGUUUUGACCAUGUGGGCCUGGGGGCAAUUUUUGACGUUUUGGGUAAAAAUUUCGAAAACUCAUUUUUAUGCAUUGGGGUUGAUUCAUUUAGCGUUUAUUGAUGUAAUUAAGUAACUUGUGGCUAUAUACGAGCAAAUUAGUGGUGGAAUCAAAGGGUAAAGCAAUAAUUGAGACGUGAAUUGUGACGUGAAUUGUGUUCGUGGCAUCGAUGUAAGUGUUUGGUUUAACCUGAGCUUGAGGGAUUAGGAGUUGUGUCCUAUUUGCUACUUGUUUCUUAUUGAGUACGAUGUAUAGGCAUGGUGACGAGUAUCUAUACAUUGGUGUCGAGCAUGAUCGUGAGCCUUAAAUUGUGAUUUAUUGUGUUCUUGAAUAAUACUACGGAUGCUUAAAUUGAUUAUUCUCUGUAUUGAGCAAGGAUUAUGAUUGUUCUCGUGGAAUUACUUAUGAUUGAGUAUUGGUGUUAGCUGAAGUAGUUAGAUGUUGGAACAAGUUUGGUUAUAGCUAUUUCUCCCUUGCCGGGAUGUAUUUAUUGAUACUGUCGAUUCCCUUGCCGGAAUAGUGUAGUUCUUUAUUGAUACCUUGCCGGGACUCUUGUUAUGAUUGUUGUUGAUUAUAUAUGUGGAUCGGGUUGCACGCCGCAAUAAUAUUAUAUGUGGAUCGGGUUACACGCCGCAACAAUAUUAUAUGUGGAUGGUUGCACGUCGCAACAAUGAUAUAUGUGGAUCGGGUUACACGUCGCAACAAUGAUAUAUGUGGAUCGGGUUGCACGCCGUAAUAGUGUUGUUAUAUUUUGGGAUCGGGUUGCGUGCCGCAACAAUUAUUGAUACAAAGUGUUUAUAGAUUGGAUACAAGUUUCUUAUUGUUUUGCCGUGAAUUCUAAGCUAUCAUUAUGCCGUUACUCUUGAUUUACUGUUGAUAUUGAUACACCCCUCGCAGCAUGUACCCUCAUCCCAUCUUUACUUGUUUAUUCCUGCUUCAUUUUAUGCAGUAUAUUAUAUAACUGCACAGGUUCAUUUGGUAGUCUGGUCAUUGCCUCGUCACUACUUCGCCGAGGUUAGGCUAGGCACUUACCAACACAUGGGGUCGGUUGUGCUGAUACUACACUCUGCACUAUGUGCAGAUCCCGGAGCAGCUCUUGGACCAUAGCAUUUGGGUGGCUACCUUCAGUCCACGCAGAGAUCCAAGGUAGACCUGUAGGCGUCCGCAGGCCCUGGCGUCUCCUCUAUCCUUUAUUUCCUGUUUCAUUUCUUUGAUUUAGAAACAGCGUAUCUUUAUUUUCAGACUUUAUAUUUAGCACUCUUAGAUCAUCUGUGGUACUGUGACACCAGUUCUGGGUGAUUAAGGCUUAAAUAGUUGUAUUAGAUUCAUAUUUCACAUAUUUUACUACAUUUCUUC
rnacentral:lncRNA from 1 species